rnacentral:rRNA from 11 species
ACAGGGGGUCUAAAUAUCCUAAAGGCACCAGAUCCCAUCUGAUCUUGGAAGCUAAGUACGGUCAGCUCUGGUGCAGGCAACAUUUCAGAGGAAUACAUUUGCCAAACCAAAUAUUCUUUAUA